AUGCUUCUAAAUUUCGUUCUUCCAUCUUCAAGAAGUCUCUCUAUGUCCAUUCUUCGUUCUUCCAUCUUCUUCCUCAAAUCAUUUUCAAAUCUCCUUACAUAUUUGUUUGAUAUUGUUCCUCUUUAUCUAUCAUUCAAAUUACCCAUAUUUACUGCCACUGUAUUUCUACCACCCUGUUUUUGCCGCUCCGCCACCAUCAUUCUCUUUUGA